rnacentral:lncRNA from 1 species
UUUUUUUUAAAGAAAAGUUGAGAUUAGUGCAGGCCAAAGAGGAAAACACAUGAAAUAAGAUGAAAGGACACUGUAGAAGUCAUGGAAAGGGGACUUUUUUGAUACUUUCUCUGAUGUUUAUCAGGACAUUUCCCCACAGGAAGAAAAGUAGUCACCUUUGCCAUCCCAAAUGAAAGACUGAAUUCAACUUAACUGUGAAACUUGAUAUGGUUGUUACCAAAUGCUCAGUCCUUGUCCCCAAUGCCAAUCCAAUAAUGAGGGCAUGGUUUUGAGAAAAAGAAAAAAGUUUUUAUGUUUUACUAGCAAAGGAGAAACAGGGGACUCCUGUCCCAGAAGCUGUGAUUCUGCCCAUCAGCAGGAACAGGAAGCUUUAAAGAGGUGACUCUUUGGAGUUAUAAUUCACUUAUUAACAUGGGAGGUGGAUAGUCAUUUCUGAGAUCUUCUGCUACCAUCCCCAAAGUCUGAAUUACUCCUUUCCUAUAGUGGGUGAGUACUCAAGGACAGAUAAAUCUGCCUAAAAUGGGGAAGAGAGGUAAUCAUGUUUCUCCUGAGAUUAAGGAGAAUCAAGGAGAGAGGAAGAAAAACACCUCCAUUUUAAAAAUAAGUUGCAGUGGCAGAGCAGCAAGGGCUAUAUUCAAAGCAUAAGUUACAUGGUGGGUGCAUCUGUGGGUCAUAAACUUCUUUUAGUUCUAAUAAGACAUGUUUUAGCCACACUAAUAAUCACCAGCCUACCAUCAUUUGCAGAAAUUGGAUCUCCCUGUUGAUAAUAUUAGGGGUUUUUUUUGGCUAAUGUAAGAGUAACUAGGAUGCACCUCUGUAGAAGCACUGGUUACUAAGAGGUCAGUUGUGUUUUAUUUGGAUCUUAGCUGUGAUUUGACCCAAGUCGAUUCUGUUGCAGUGUUUUUGCUUUUCUUGUGCUCAUCACAUUCCUAUUUGAAAUGGGUAACCUAACAAUAGUAAAUUGACUCCCCUUGCUAACCUUCGUAUACUCUUGGUCUGUUGCUCUACUGGCACCUUCCCAAUAGUCCUCUUAAUACUGUUUUAAACAUUUUUGUAUUGGUUGAUAAUGGACUUUUAUUUACUUAUUUAUAUAUGUGGUGCUGAGAAUCAAACCCAGUGCCUCACAUGUGCUAGGCAAGCACUCAACCACUGAGCCAUAACCCCAGCAGCUGCCUGCCACCCCUCCCUGCCAAUGGUCUUAAAGGACGAUUUCUUUCUUUUUUGGUACUGAGGAUCUAGAGACAGGGUCUCUAAAUUGCUCAGCACUUAAGUAAACUGCUAAGACUGGCUCUGAACACAACUCUCCUGCCUCAGUCUCCCAAACUGCUGGGAUUACAUGGGUGUGCCUCCAGGCCUGGCAGGAUUAGUUUCUUAUGUAUACCAUGGGUAGCUUGUGAUUACCUGCCACUUUCCAAUACCAACUACUGUGCCUAUAAGUUCAUAGAAAAGCAUGCAAAAUUUAGGAAGGGUGAAAUCACAGAAUAUAGAGAAGGUCUUUAUAUAGAUUUAGCAUUAUUUCAUUACAUUGUCUUUUCUCUUUUUGUUAAGCAUUGGUGAAAUCCUCAUUAUAAUUCAUCUUCAAUCUAUAAACCAGUAUUUUGAAAUCACAUUGUGCAGCCCUGAGAGUAUUACAGAUCCCUGAAUGUUAAUCUGGUGUCUACCUUGAACUUAUUUGUAAGAUUUUACAUGUGUAUUUUUAAAAAUAUAUUUUUUGUAGUUGUAGAUGAACAUCAUGUCUUUAUUUAAUGUGCUGAGGGUCGAACCCAGUACCUCACGUGUGCUAGGCAAGUGCUCUGCCACCGAACUACAGCCCCAGCCCCUGCAUGUGUAUUUUUAUGAGAACAGGGAAAUGUUAGCUUUCUCCAAAGACCUGAUUCUCCUAAAAUUUUAAGAAUAUCUACUACAGAUGAAAUUUUGAUAAGACCUUUCCUACACAUUCUUAUUUCUCACCUCCAAACUGUUAAUAAACUGCUUAGAUGAGGGAAAGUUUAUUUUGGCUCAUUUUCAGAGAUUCAGUUCAACAAACUGUUAAUAAACUGCU